rnacentral:lncRNA from 1 species
GGCAAAGAAAAAUAAAUAACGUAGAUAUUCAUGGAAAGUCCAUAACCCAGGACCGAUGAGUAACUUGAAAAUGCAGGCAAGAGUCUACUGCCCUUUUAUCGUUUUUGCCUCUUGUUUCUAUUGCCUUUUAUUGCCUCUAUUGAUGGCAAUAGAAGCUGUGAACAUGGUAAGGAAAAAAGAGACUGCUAAAACGGACCUGGCACUGAGUCUUGUCACACAGCAUUGCAGGUCAAUGAGAACACAAGCCGAAUUUGACUUGACCUUUUUAAAAUCUUCACUGUAACCUUGAUCACCCUCUUAACUGAAUUAUGGAUCUCAGGAACAAGAUAUAGCCAAUAUGACUCACGGCAGGUGAGAGGACACAGCUGGAGAAGAGCAAGUCCAGGCUUCCGCUUCCCUUGGGUGGCUGACUUCUAGAUCUGCAAUGCUUAAUCAUAAAAAAAAGGAAGCAAUGGUUGAGGACAUUAAAUGAGAAAUGUGUCUUCAAAGUACCUCGCCUGAAGAGCCAAGAUAAUUUACCAAGCCCGGAAAAGGGCAAGAGCACAUCAGGAUCAGGAUGGACACAACAGAGCUCAGUCUUGAGAAACAAUCGCAGGUCUCCCUUUACUGAUUUUCCUGCCUGCCUUUGAUUCACUCCACAGUCCACGUCACCUCACUCAACUUCUAUUCUGUGGCCAGAACAGCCUUCAUGACGUGAACGUUCACCUGUCUUCCUCCUGGUUGCACUUUCAUAAUGGACUAUAAGAUGAAUUCUAAACACUUUUGCAAAGAAUAUAAGACUCUUCGGUAUUAGACACCUGCCUCCCCACUCAGAUUAAUCUUCCAAUGCUGUUCCCUUUGUCUGGACUACCUGAGACUCCCACAAGUCCCACAGCUUCACUUGAAAUGCUCCCU